rnacentral:lncRNA from 1 species
GAGUUGGGAGAAGGGGCAGAAAUAUACAGAGAUUUAGGACAAUGAGAAAGGUUAGUGGAAAGCAGCAUUAUUUUUAUUUAAAAAUUUUUUUUUUCUUUUUUAGGGCCGCACCUCCACAUAUGGAGGUUCCCAGGCUAACAGUUGAGUCGAAGCUGUAGCCCUGGCAUGCGCCACAGCCACAGCAACUCGAAUCACCUCAUCUGCAGCCUACACCACAGCUCACCGCAACUCGGGGUCCUUAACCCUUAACCCACUGAGCAAGGCCAGGAAUCGAACCCGCAACCUCAUGGUUUGUAGUCAGACUUGUUUCUGCUGCGCCACGACGAGAACUCCAUCAACUAUGCUUUAGUUUUUAAUCAUUAAAAAAGAGGGGAACAAGAUGCAGAGUGGGGCAGGACAGGAGUGAGGGAAGGAAUCGAGAGGAGGGCAGAGUCAACAGGAGAGCAGAGGGAAACAAAAAGAGACAGAUGAAAUAGGGAGCCGGAUAAGCAGGAUGACGUGGAAACACAUAGUAGUGCAGGUAGAGGGGAGACUGGAUCCGGGAGGGUGGUGGGAUGUUUGGAUGUGGGUGAUUUAAGUUGUGAUGUUUGAUUUGCGGCUUUAGAAUGUAGUCAGUUAAUUAAUUAAUUUAUUUGUGUUUUGAGGUCCACACCCUCGGCAUAUGGAGGUUCCCAGGCUAGGGGUCCAGUCAGAGCUGUAGUGGCCAGCCUACACCACAGCCACAGCCACACCAGAUCUGAGCAGCAUCUGUGACCUACACCACAGCUCACGCCAACGCCAGACCCUUAACCCACUGAGGGAGGCCAGGGAUCGAACCCACAACCUCAUGGCUCCUAGUCAGAUUCAUUAACCACUGACCCACGACGGGAACUCCACAGAAUGCAGUAAACUUAAAAUUUGUUGGCUUCAAUUAGGCAGAUGAGGAUGAGCAUUGCAAACCUUGCCAUGAGGCUUUGGCCUUUUGCAGUUGCUUGUAUGAGAGGCUAACUUACACUUCCAGUCCCCUAGUCAGCCAGAGGGCAGUGACUUGACUCAAGACAGUCUGCGGUCACCCCCCCUUUCCUUUUUCCUGACCUGGGAGAGAGGACAAGGACGAGGAGCCUGGGGCAAGAAAUGACUGCCUCUGUCUCUAGGUGAGGCCUCUUUGAAGGAACAUUAAACGCGUUUCUGGUGGAUUCACUUUUUUCUGUCGGAUUCACUUUUUUCUGCCUCAUUUUUUUACAUUUAAUUCUUCUUGUUGCUUGGAAUAAAUCUUGGUUUCGUUUCAUUUCUGCUUCCCUAUAAGUGAUUGUAAACUUCUGACAUAAGCGUUGGUGGUCUUGUAUAAUCAACUCAUGCAGUUAAUAUCAUAUAUUCUCAGUUUUUUUUAACUUUCACCUCAGAAUUUUACAAGAAAAAAUUUACAAAAUACUUCUUUUAGUGUUUAAGGUUUGUUUGAGGCCUGCCUCCUGUCUCCACUUUAUCUUAUGUUUUGGGCAAGUUCUUUGGUAAUUAGUAAAUAAUUUUAGACUAUUUUGAUGGUACUUGAUAAAGAUGUCAAUGAUUUUGCCGGGCGGUUUGCACCUGUGGCAAGAUGGAAUUUUCUUUCUUUUUUUUUGCUUUUUAGGGCCACACCUGUGGCAUCUGGAAGUUCCCAGGCUAGGGGCAAAUCAGAGCUGCAGCCGUUGGCCUACACAACAGCCAUAGCCACUCGGGAUCCGAGUUGAGUCUGCGACCUACACCACAGCUCACGGCAACGCCGGAUCCUUAACCCACUGAGCGGGGCCAGGGAUCAAACCUACGUCCUCACGGAUGCUCGUUACCUGCUGAGCCACGAACUGUGGUGUAGGUUGCAGAUGUGGCUCGGAUGUGGUAUUGCUGUGGCUCUGGCAUAGGCUGGUGGCUAUGGCUCCGAUUCGACCCCUAGCCUGGGAACCUCCAUAUGCCGCGAGAGCGGCCCAAGAAGUGGCAAAAA